GCAAGUCGAGCGCAGUCGUUCGGGACCGAGCGGCGGACGGGUUAGUAACGCGUGGGAACGUACCCUUCUCUACGGAAUAGCCAUUGGAAACGAUGAGUAAUACCGUAUACGCCCGUUGGGGGAAAGAUUUAUCGGAGAAGGAUCGGCCCGCGUUAGAUUAGAUAGUUGGUGGGGUAAUGGCCUACCAAGUCGACGAUCUAUAGCUGGUUUGAGAGGAUGAUC
rnacentral:rRNA from 1 species